rnacentral:rRNA from 1 species
CGCCUCUUGUUUAUCAAUAAGAGGUCCAGCCUGCCCAGUGACCCUGUUCAACGGCCGCGGUAUCCUAACCGUGCGAAGGUAGCGUAAUCACUUGUUCUUUAAAUGAGGACUAGUAUGAAUGGCCCCACGAAGGCUACACUGUCUCCUUUUCUUAAUCAAUGAAAUUAAUCUUCCCGUGAAGAAGCGGGAAUAUAAAUAUAAGACGAGAAGACCCUAUGGAGCUUUAAACUAUCGAAACACUUGCUUCACAUUUCUUAUGCUCCUGAGCCCUUUCAAUUAUUUAAGCAAUUUUACUUCAGGUUUUAGGUUGGGGUGACCACGGAGCAAAAUUUAACCUCCAUGAUGUAAGAGACUUCACUCUUAGCUAAAAGCCACUUCUUUAAGCAUCAAUAAAUUGACUCUUAUUGACCCAAUUAUUUGAUCAACGAACCAAGUUACCCUAGGGAUAACAGCGCAAUCUACUUCAAGAGCUCGUAUCGACAAGUAGGUUUACGACCUCGAUGUUGGAUCAGGGUAUCCUAGUGGUGCAGCCGCUACUGAUGGUUCGUUUGUUCAACGAUUAAAACCCU